rnacentral:rRNA from 1 species
UACGUAGGGCGCAAGCGUUGUCCGGAAUUAUUGGGCGUAAAGAGCUCGUAGGCGGCUUGUCACGUCGGGUGUGAAAGCCCGGGGCUUAACCCCGGGUCUGCAUUCGAUACGGGCUAGCUAGAGUGUGGUAGGGGAGAUCGGAAUUCCGGGUGUAGUGGUGAAAUGCGUAGAUAUCCGGAGGAACACCAGUGGCGAAGGCGACUUUCUGGCCUGUUCUUGACGCUGAGGCGCGAAAGCCAGGGGAGCAAACGGG